ensembl:snRNA U6 U6 spliceosomal RNA
GUGCUUGCUUUGGCAGCAUAUAUACUAAAAUUGGAAUGAUACAGAGAAAAUUAGCAUGGCCCCUUAGCAUGGAUGACACUCAAAUUUGUGAAGCAUUCAUACAAAAA